AUUGAACGCUGGCGGCAGGCUUAACACAUGCAAGUCGAACGAGCGGCGGACGGGUGAGUAAUGUCUGGGCACCUGCCUGAUGGAGGGGGAUAACUACGGGAAACGGUAGCUAAUACCGCAUACCAUCAGAUGUGCCCAGAUGGGAUGAGCUAGUGGGUGGGGUAAUGGCUCACCUAGGCGACGAGCCCUAGCUGGUCUGAGAGGAGGACCAGCCACACUGGAACUGAGACACGGUCCAGACUCCUACGGGAGGCAGCAGUGGGGAAUAUUGGACAAUGGGCGCAAGCCUGAUGCAGCCAUGCCGCGUGUGUGAAGAAGGCCUUCGGGUUGUAAAGCACUUUCAGCGAGGAGGCGUUACUCGCAGAAGAAGCACCGGCUAACUCCGUGCCAGCAGCCGCGGUAAUUC
rnacentral:rRNA from 1 species